rnacentral:tRNA from 1 species
GCCUCUUCGACUCAUAGUGGUAUAUAUUGAUCUUGUAAAUCAAGGAUUGUGAGUUCAAUCCUCAUAAGAAGCA